rnacentral:rRNA from 1 species
AUUGAACGCUGGCGGCAGGCCUAACACAUGCAAGUCGAGCGGAGCGGCGGACGGGGGAGUAAUGCCGAGGAAUCUGCAUGUUAGUGGGGGAUAACGUCCGGAAACGGGCGCUAAUGCCGCAUACUCUCACAUUAGCCUAGGUCGGAUUAGCUAUUUGGUGUGGUAAGGGCCUACCAAGGCGACGAUCCGUAACUGGUCUGAGAGGAUGAUCGGUCACACGGGAACUGAGACACGGUCCAGACUCCUACGGGAGGCAGCAGUGGGGAAUAUUGGACAAUGGGCGAAAGCCUGAUCCAGCCAUGCCGCGUGUGUGAAGAAGGUCUUCGGAUUGUAAAGCACUGUAAGUUGGGAGGCGUUACCCACAGAAUAAGCACCGGCUAACUUCGUGCCAGCAGCCGCGGUAAUAC